rfam:Myotis davidii contig13443, whole genome shotgun sequence.
GCCAGUGUGGCUUAGUGGUAAAGUAUCGGCCCUGGACCGAAGAGUGGCAGGUUCAAUUCCCGCCAAAAGCA